AUGAUUGAAGAUUUUGCCUCCGAGAAAGUCACUGUCACCUGGAAGAAGAAUGACACAGAGGUGGAGGGCCUGACCCCAACUGUAGGCCAACAGCCAUCAGGCCUCUUCUCAACCAGCAGUCUGCUGAAGGUCACCAACACUGACUGGAACAACAAGGUCAAGUACAGCUGUUUGGUGCAGCACCAGGGACAAACCACCAUCAAGACAAUCUACAAAACAGAACCACUGACAGUGACUCUGAACCCACCGAGUGUGAAAGAGGUGUUCUUGGACAACCAAGCAGUGCUGGAAUGUGUCAUCACUGGUACAGACCAGGACAUAGUGUCUGGUACCAAUAUCACCUGGCAGGUCAAUGAAUAGGCCAAGACUGAUGGCAUCGAUCUGAAAGAUAUUGAAUCAAAGGGCAACCUGAACAGCAUGGUCAGUACUCUGACCAUAGGCCAGAAGGACUGGACCAAUGUGAUCAAAGUCCAGUGUUCUGCCAUGAAGAGUGGUGAAGACACACCGGUCAUUCAGCACCUCAGCUUCACCAAAGGAAGUGAAGCCCCUUCAGUGUCCGUCCACCUUCUACCGGAGGAAGACACCAAGAAGGAGGGGGAAGUGACUCUGGUGUGCCUGGUGGUCUGCCCAUCUCUAUGUGACGUCUACAUCAUGUGGCAGGUGGACAGCGGUCAGUACCAGGAGGGGGUCACCAGCCCUCCUCAGAAAACCCAAAAAGGCGACUACUCCGUCACCAGUGUCUUCACCACCACCAAGAAGGAGUGGGAGACAAAUGUGCUUUUCACAUGCGCCGUCAAGCACGCAGGCUCGGACAACAACACCGCACUUAAGGGGAGGGAUGUGUCGAAGUCCAUGGGUAAAUCAUGUGAGGACAACUGAUAUUGAUCUGUGUGGGUUGUGUCGUUGUGUCUCCUUAUUACCUCCUCUGUGGGUCAAAAUAGCCAAUUACUAUGCAUGUCCCCUGUUGUCCUCUAUUCAUUGUUGUCCUUGAGUUGAAGU